rnacentral:rRNA from 1 species
UGGGGAAUAUUGGACAAUGGGCGCAAGCCUGAUCCAGCCAUGCCGCGUGAGUGAUGAAGGCCCUAGGGUUGUAAAGCUCUUUCACCGGAGAAGAUAAUGACGGUAACCGGAGAAGAAGCGCCGGCUAACUCCGUGCCAGCAGCCGCGGUAAUACGAAGGGGGCUAGCGUUGUUCGGAGUUACUGGGCGUAAAGCGCACGUAGGCGGUCUUUUAAGUCAGGGGUGAAAUCCCGGGGCUCAACCCCCUAACUGCGGUUGAUACUGGAAGUCUAGAGUAUGGUAGAGGUGGGUGGAAUUCCGAGUGUAGAGGUGAAAUUCGUAGAUAUUCGGAGGAACACCAGUGGCGAAGGCGUGUCACUGGGCCAUUACUGACACUCAGGUGCGAAAGCGUGGGGAGCGAACAGG